UACGUAGGGGGCUAGCGUUGUCCGGAUUUAUUGGGCGUAAAGAGCGUGUAGGCGGCCAGGUAGGUCUGGUGUGAAAACUCGAGGCUUAACCUCGAGAUGUCAUCGGAAACCAUCUGGCUAGAGUCCGGAAGAGGAAAGUGGAAUUCCUGGUGUAGCGGUGAAAUGCGCAGAUAUCAGGAAGAACACCAAUGGCGAAAGCAGCUUUCUGGGACGGUACUGACGCUGAGACGCGAAAGCGUGGGGAGCGAACAGG
rnacentral:rRNA from 2 species